rnacentral:rRNA from 1 species
CAGCAGCCACGGUAAUACAUAGGGUGCGAGCGUUAAUCGGAUUUACUGGGCGUAAAGCGUGCGUAGGCGGCUUCUUAAGUCGGAUGUGAAAUCCCUGAGCUUAACUUAGGAAUUGCAUUCGAUACUGGGAAGCUAGAGUAUGGGAGAGGAUGGUAGAAUUCCAGGUGUAGCGGUGAAAUGCGUAGAGAUCUGGAGGAAUACCGAUGGCGAAGGCAGCCAUCUGGCCUAAUACUGACGCUGAGGUACGAAAGCAUGGGGAGCAAACAGGAUUAGAUACCCGAGUAGUCCCUGUCUCUUAUAC